rnacentral:misc_RNA from 1 species
UCAUCUUGAUCUUCACACUCUUAGGAGAAAACAUUCUGAACUUGAGGGAGAACUUUCAAAUCUUCAUCAAAAAGAAGAGAAGUUAUUAUCUGAGACCAUUCCAGAUCUUUGUUGGGAGCUGGCUCAACUCCAAGACACGUAUAUUUUGCAAGGUGAUUAUGAUCUGAAAGUCCUGCGACAAGAAUGUUAUAUUAGUAGACAGAAAGCGGUAUUGUUGUCAACUUUAUAUGUUUGUGUAUUUGCAUUCUUUUCUUCUGCAAAUUAAUUUCUUCCUAGACUAUGAAUUUUGAAAUUAAUUAGCUCUAGCAGGCUCCCUACUGUAACCAUGUCUCAACCUCUCUUUCUUUGCAGGUCCUGUGUUCUAUUUUAUUCCUAUUCAGAAGUAAUUGUUUCGUUGUAUUAAUGUAAUAAUGUUCUAGAUGUGCUUU